UGGGAACUUAGAAGAGAUAUGCAAAAGAA
rnacentral:piRNA from 1 species